rnacentral:lncRNA from 1 species
UGGCGGGGCGUUCUUGCUCACGGCCUCCGCCUUCACGGUGAAGGAGGUGGGCUCGAGGCAUAAUUUCUUGGUGUUGUACUUGCCCGGCUUGAAGGCGAACGACUCCACCCCGCCGUCGAUGGUCGGGCACUGGUUGGCCGUUCCCGUCCCCUUCACCUCCAUGUACGUCUUACUCUGGAUCUCGUCAUAUGUCAGCCUCUUCGGCACUCCCUCCGCGCUUGCUCCCUGUCACAUGUGUGCGGGUAAAGAAGAGGUAAUCACGAGGAAGGAGAGAACGAACGAGGAGGAUGGACGAGUACCGUGACAACGAGGGCGGAGGCGGCCAGGGCGAAGCCGGCGAGCUUUACGCCAUCAGCGCACUUCUGGGCCAUCUCUCGGACGUCCGACUGCAAGGAGCAGGUGAGCCUGGCACUGGCAGCAGGCUCAAGGCCGAAGGCCUUGGUGAGGUGAGAUGAGGACCUCAAUUGCACUCCUGCAGCGGUCCGGCUGGUGGCGCCGACCUUUGCCGGCUGCAUGAGGGUAGCGGCGGCCUGGAGGGACGCUGCCAUUCUUCUUUGCUACUGUGCCUGUGCUGCUUUCCUCCUCCUCUUCUUCU